UACGAAGGGGACUAGCGUUGUUCGGAAUCACUGGGCGUAAAGCGCACGUAGGUGGAUUUGUAAGUCAGGGGUGAAAUCCCGGGGCUCAACCUCGGAACUGCCUUUGAUACUGCAAGUCUUGAGUCCGAUAGAGGUGGGUGGAAUUCCUAGUGUAGAGGUGAAAUUCGUAGAUAUUAGGAAGAAACACCGGUGGCGAAGGCGGCCCACUGGAUCGGUACUGACACUGAGGUGCGAAAGCGUGGGGAGCAAACAGG
rnacentral:rRNA from 1 species